UCUGUUGCAGAAAAUUCAAGAAAGCACAUAAGAAAAAUAAAAAAAUAAUCAAAAAGAGAAAACCAGGACUGCUAAAUUUAAACUUGAAAGCUCAAAAGAAAAACAUCAAACGAUUUCUUAAUAGAAUCAUGCAAUGCAACCAAAUAGCUUGAAUUUAAAACAUGAAUAUCGAAAUAUUUGCCCAUUGGUCUUUGGCACACUGCUGCAAAGCCUAGAGCAGCCAAGCGUACCAACAAAAUUUAGCAUAUCUUACCAUCAAGCAGGUCCCAGCACGAACAUUACAGAUGGGAUAGUCAUGUGGGCAGCAGCUAUAGUGGUCAUCACAGCAGGUGGCAGCCUCAAGCGGGCAGCAUCCCCAUGCAAAGCAAGAGUUACCAUACUCAAAGACACAGCAGCAAGUGUUGCUCUCAGGGCAAGAGUAAUAAUUGUCACACACAGCAGGAGGCUUUGUUGGAGAUGGAGGGGACGGUCCAGGGUUGGGAGGAUUUUGGCCUUUCUUUAUGGGAUAUGAGGCCUCCAUGGCAAUUCCACACUUGCCCGUGAGAGUGCCAGCCACGUUACGCUCCAUCCUAAUAUAGCCAGCCUCUCCCCAGCUACUGCCCCAUGAAUUCUUCACAAUCCAGUAAUCAGCUCCAUUUUCUGUGCCAUAUCCAACAGCAGUAACACCAUGGUCCAGAGAUGUCCCACAUCUUCCCGUAAAUAUACCCUGAAAAUUUGCAAAGACAGAAAAAUAUACUUGAGACUUCCUUAAAACAGAUCAGACACACACAAGACUCUUCCUGAUCCUGUUUAGAAACCAUUAGAAAUACAAUAAUUUUUGUUCAAAUACCAUCCAGUAUUGUCUCAACCAUAUCUUUUCAGAACUGCAAAAUGCAAAUACUUUGUAUCUAGAUAAUAGCAACAUUCCUAAAUCUAAAAUGUGACAAGUGCCAUGAAGAGAUGAAAGUUACCGAUUCAUAUAACUGGAAUGCCAUGCCACCUCCUUCAAUGGCAACACUCACGGGUUGAUUUGCAACUGCCUUUUGCAAAGCUUUCUCGUCAUUUAGGGGAACAUCUUCAUAGUCAUCAAUUGUAACUACUUUGGCAUUUUUCUGACAAAGCCAAAAACCAAAGGCUUAGAAUGAUCCUCCAUUAUAUAGUAUGGCAUUUCUUCGUAAAACAAUAGAGUAAAAAUACCUACCCGAUAUGUGUCACAGCUACCAUCAAUGGCUUUGUAGGGGUAAUCUUCUUCUGUGUCAAUACCUCCAUUAUCAAUAAUGAACUCGAAUGCAUAGUCCAUCAAACCACCAUUACAUCCUUCAUUAUAUGAUGUAUCACAAUCCACCAACUCCUGCUCGGAUAGUGAGAUCAGGCUACCUGUAACAAUCUUGUUUAUACCCUCUACAGCUGCAAUGGUUGAAAAUGCCCAGCAACUCCCUUCAUUCAAGCGAGAUACAAUCAAAUAAUGGUUAGAAUCACACGACACAGAGAGCAACAGAUAAUUUGCUUUCUGAAUUUCUAACCAAGUUAAGUACUUAGACAACUCAAUAUUUGAAUAUGUUUUGUAUCUACAUCAGUUGAUUUAUUACCUACAAAAGUUAGGUAGGGGAAAAAAAAUCGUCACUUCAUAUAAUUCUGAGUUAUUAAGUUUGUUCAGAAUGAUGGAUUGAGGUUGAAUAAGACCGCAAAAGACUUGUAGGACAUAAAAUGUUUAAUAUCUCUCAUUGACAGGUUUUACCAUACUACAACUUUAAUGAUAAAUAAAAAAAUAAUUAACUUGCUACUACAGGACAAUGACUAAUACAAGUUAUGGCGUAAUAAUUAUUAUCUAAGGACUAAUCCCUAAAAUCUCUUAGAACGGAACAAGAUAUCAAGCUCGAAGCUCAUAGGUGGUGAAAUGAAUUACCAAUAUCCUGUACAAAUAAACAAAAUAAACGCACUUAUUUUGUUCAGAGCUUUAAUAAUUCUGCAGAUGCAGCCAACUGACACACUGAUAAGCGGCCCAGCCCACUGACACGUAUUAAAAUUUUGUGGUGUUACCAACUAUCACCAAAAGUGAUAGGAAUACGAUUUUCACGUCUACUGAACACAAAAAAAAUAUUACUACAGCUUUUAAAAAGGUCCGCCAAUCUGUACCCAAUGGCAGCUAUGUUCAACCAACAAGCUCUGGCCACGUCAGGACAGCCAAACAAGAUUCCAUCCAGACAGUUCUUUUUAUUUUCAUUUGGAAAACAUUUUCUCGUGAGGGAAAACAGAAAAUAUCUCGAGCCUUUCGUCAGAAGAUAUCUUCUUGUUUUUCACACUUCCUAAUUUCUUGUCAGUUUUUCUCUUUGUUGUUUUUCGACAAAACAAUAAAAAAGGAAUACUCAAUUUGGACCAUUGAUUAUCACAGUGGCCCAAGCCUCCGAACUCUCGCCAAAAGUCCGAGACGAAACAGCACUUUAAAAAAAUAAUCAUAAUAAUAGUGUCGGAGAAAAAAAGAAAUUCACGAAAACCAGAUUCUAAUUGAUGGAAAAGAUUAAAAAAUAACAGUAAUAGUCCUAACCGGUCAACUUAGCACAACUGCCCCCAACCGGAAGCAGUGCAGAUUCUUCUAACUCUAAUCAUCCUUAAAAUACCAAACAUACCCUUUCCUUUCCUUUCCUUUCCUCUCCGCAAUCGAUUCAUUCAUAAUUUUAAGAUAAUAAUUAAAGUACUGCAGGUAACGAAUAAAAUCUAAAAAAGAAAAAGUAAAUGAAAACAAUAAAAAAACUGACCACAGCUUCCUUGAUCUUUAACUUCAGCGACAGCUCCUUUCUUCCUCCAAUCAACAGAGUCCGGCAACGCCUCGCCGACACGUGGCAGAUAACGGUCGCUCCUCUUUGAUUUCAAGGAAGUCCUUUUAGCACCAAAGCGUGCACCCAGAUGCAUGGACCGGUACUCCUCGUUGGUCAAAUCAGCAAACCGGUUCAACCCAACCUUGUAGGUCCGGUUCUCUGAGUUAUGUUCAUCAAUAAACCUAAGAUUUUCCUUAAAGAUCUCAAACCUCUUCUCUUUUUCACCCAAAGCGUUAUAAGCCUUGCCAUGCUUCACGAGCCAGGCCUCGAACAUAGCCAUAACCUCAUCGUCGGUCCUCCAGCUGCUAGAUUUUGACUCAUGGGUUUUAUCAUAAGAUACAAUCGACAUGUCCAAGGCAGAUGAAACAGUGAAGAGAAAAAGUAAAAACAUGGCCAUGGUUGGUGAUCUAAACAAACCCAUCUUUUGAGAAAAGAACUUUUUUUUUUUUCUUUUUGGGAGAAGAAGAUGGAUUGAUGAGGCAGAGUGUGAGGGUGAGGCAGGUGGUGGGUUAUUAUAAAGGAAAUUGAAGAGGCUAUUAAGUAAAUAAAUUAAAUGAGGAGGUGACAAACGUGGAGUAAAUUUUCAGGAUAUUUUAGUCUAGAGAUAUAUUAUGGGGUAAAUGAGAGCUGACAAAUAAGAAUUGGACAACUAAGAAGCAUGGGGGCGAUAUGCGAUAGGCUGGAGUGAAAAGCAAAGCGACCACUCCACUCGCUUCUGUCCAUACAAAUUUGGAGCGCGGUGUCAGCAAGUAACGAAUUAUCGGGGUUUGGUUUCACGCGCUUCCUUUCUUUUCCUUUCUUUUCUCGUUAAGACCCCUGUACUUUGACUUAAUUAUACUCGUUUUUGUUGUUAGACAAAGUUUAUCAGAAAAUACAAAAUAUCUGAAUGUGUUAAUUGCUGUAUUAAAAAAUCAAUCAAAAUGUUUUUCUUUUUUUUUUAAUAACUUCACUGCACUCCUUAAAGGCCUAAUAUCUCUUUUAAAUACACCAGUUUCUUAUAACUGAAAAAAAAAGACGAGAAAUUAUUGCUCAAUUCCUUUUAAAUGUCCAAAAAAAUUUCUUUACAGCCGAAAAUUCUUUAAAAAUAUGAAAAAUUCUCACCUUCAAUAAAAGAAAAUUAUCUUAGUUGUGACUUUAUUAUAAUAUUUGGUCCAUUAUUUAUAAAAUGGAAAAGAAAAAUCUAAAAUAAAUAUAAAAAAACUUAUUUUUUCGUAUGAUAAAUCUAUAAAUGAUUUUGAAAUUGCUAAAUUUAUAUAGUUAAUUAUAUCACCAUCGCAGGUCUAGCCAAAAUAAGUAGGAAAAUUGUUUAAAAACCCUUAUUCUACUAAAUUUAUGGUAGCUUGACAUCAAACUUGUGAUUUUUAAAUUUAGAUUGAUGUUAUUAUUAUUUUGUUUGAAUACCACAUGUCUGCAUCCAUAUGCGUAUUACAAAAAGAAAAAAAAAUAUAUUAAUAUUUAUAGUCAGAAAUUUAUUAAAAUAAUUUAAAUCAAUGUAUUUAUUUAAUUAUGUUAAUUGUUGGAAGAGUUGGCACGCCUGUCAUUUGUAGUCUGUGGGACACAAAAGAUGCCUUCGACGAACGGGACGGGUUACGGGAGACUGAAACUGCUCUUUUGUCUUAUCCGGGACCCACUUAAACGUUUGGAGAUAUUUCUGUAAAUUUGCAUCAAUUAUUUCAUCUUCAAUAUUUCUCAUCACCACCAAACAUGUGGACAGUGGAUGCUCUUUGAUGCGACUUUUUAAUUUAUAUUUUUGACUUUUAUAUUUCUUUUUUUUUUUUAUAAUCCUCAGCCGUUUCCUGAUUUUCUAUUUUGUUUAAAAAUGAUAACUAAGCAAAUUCUCAUACCAAAAUAUUCCAUGGGUCCUACUAAUUACCAAAAAAAAAAAAAAAAAACCAAAUUUUCAUUCAGCGAUGAGUAUUGAAUAUGCGACCCCCUUUUAUGUAUCUUAUUUUUCCUGAUAAAUGUUUUAUUUUGUACCCCAAAAAUAAAUGCUGAGUCACCGACCUAUAAUAAUUCAAGUCACACUAACCAAUCACGAACCAACAAAAAAACAAGAAAGCAAAUCCCCUGAACUACUUAAAUGCUUUUCUCAAUCACGUGCAAUUUUGGGAAUUACGUAAAAGUACCCAUUAUAGACAUUAAUUACAUAAUUAGAGUGUCUCAAAUUUUUAUAAUACAAAUUCUAAAUUUUUUAUUCUAAACAUGUAUCCUAAAUGAUGUGUCAUUAAUUAAGUGGUUGAUAAUUCUUUAUAAAAUUUAAGUGAAUUAAUUAUAUUAUCUCACCAACCACUCAAUUAAUGGCACAUCAUUUAGAAUAAUUUUUUUAAAUAAAAAAUUUAGAAUGUGUAGCAUUACUCUUUUUAUAAUAAGUUCCUCACUGAUAACUCGAAACAAGGGACAAUACGGUUCUUUUAUUGCUUCCGCAAUCCCAUUGAACGCUGCGUGAGGUUGCUAAGGCCAGGGAAGGGAACACGAGCAGGUUGUUGAGAACAUUAAUGCUUCAUAGAGUCCUUUCCAGCUUGUUAUCAGCAGUCAAGUUAGAAACGCCUCUCUGCAUUAGUCAAGUUAGAAAUUGAAUUGGUAGAUGAACACCUAACAAUUGUUAAAAUUCUAUUGAGUAUUAAUCAAAUUAAUCUAUUUUUUUUCUAUAGUAGGUACACCACCGAAAUAAUUAGUUAAAGAGUAGCGUACUCCCAUGGCUGAUGGUGAUAUCAUGAAUUCAUGAUUACGAAACAAGCCAAUAUGAACGCAGAGAAUUUAUAAAUAAUUACUAUUUACUACCCAUAAACACGAUUAAAUGUAUCUACCAACUUACCAUAAAAAUAAACAUUUAAGGGGAAAAAAAUCCACGGGUAGAGUACCUCCCGAAUUUUCACAUGAUCCAUCUAUCAAUCGACUUUUCGCUUUCUCUUUCAAUCAGAGCCCCAUAAUAAAUAAUUAAGGAACAACAAAGAUGACUUGCUUUUGAAGUAAAUGAUGGGGGCCAUAGCAUAGCCCAUGGCCCACCGAAUGUGAAUGGAAUCUCUACGAAUCUUUAUUUAAUAUUAGUUAUUCAGGAAUGGACAAUUUACUGAUGCCAUCGAGGCUGGUAAAUGAUAGGAACGAUUAGAUGGUGAUAACAUCAUUUUUCUUCGAUUUAUAGUUUUAUACAAGUCAAUUUGUACGUGGCUUGAUUAUUUUCCUUACGUUUUUCUUUUCUUAUUUGCUUUGGAUACUGAACUAUGAUUUUUCAAAACCAACUACACAUUUCGUGUGAAGAUAUUUGCCAAAAUGACAGUUUUUUUAAUUGGACUUGAUAAUGAUUCAAAUCCGAGUUUGGUAGAAGUUGUAUUAUGUUUAAUUUUAUAAAAUUGAUUUCUAUAUUAAAGGUGCGAUUGAAAUUGAGAUUAGAUAGUUAUAAUUUAAAAGUUAUAAUAUUAAAAUGUUUGAUAAAUACUAACUGUUGUAGUUUAGAAGUUAUACUGAUAUGAUUUUUCACUUAUAUAAUGAAAAAUUUAUUAUAUUUUUAAUAAUUUUAUUAAAAUUAUUAUAUAAAAUUUAUAUUUACUAUAUAUUAUUAAUUUAUAUUUCAUAAUUACAGAAUUUUUUUUAUAGCAGCUGUAACUUAAAAGUUACAACAUCUCAAUUUCAAACGCACUCUAAUUUUGAGAGUUAAAUAUGUAGUUGUGGCAUUAUUCACGUACCCAUAUAAUCUUUGAAUUGAAAACUCAAGUUACCUGUAAGCACGCAUGUUCCUCUAUGAUUGUACGUGACAUAUUUCAAUCUAACUACCAUGCACUCAAAAAAAAAAAAACUAUGCAAUCCAUAAUUUAUAAAUGGAUUUGUGUGGGAAUCAUAUCUGAAAUUCUAAAAAUCAUAUUCAAAUAUUAGUGAUUUUGAAUUUGUCAAAAUAAAAAUUCAUUAUAAGGCAGAAAAAUAGAAAGACUUAUU
rnacentral:lncRNA from 1 species